rnacentral:sRNA from 1 species
UAUCAUUGUGUCUCGGUUUGCAGUAC